AGAGACAGCAGCCGCCGCGGUAAUACGUAGGUGGCAAGCGUUGUCCGGAAUUAUUGGGCGUAAAGGGCUCGCAGGCGGUUUCUUAAGUCUGAUGUGAAAGCCCCCGGCUCAACCGGGGAGGGUCAUUGGAAACUGGGAAACUUGAGUGCAGAAGAGGAGAGUGGAAUUCCACGUGUAGCGGUGAAAUGCGUAGAGAUGUGGAGGAACACCAGUGGCGAAGGCGACUCUCUGGUCUGUAACUGACGCUGAGGAGCGAAAGCGUGGGGAGCGAACAGGAUUAGAUACCCCGGUAGUCCCUGUCUCUUAUAC
rnacentral:rRNA from 1 species